rnacentral:rRNA from 1 species
UACGGAGGGGGCUAGCGUUGCUCGGAAUUACUGGGCGUAAAGGGAGCGUAGGCGGGUCGUCAAGUUUGUCGUGAAAGCCCAGGGCUCAACCUUGGAACUGCCUUCAAAACUGACGAUCUAGAGUAUGGAAGAGGUAAGUGGAACUCCGAGUGUAGAGGUGAAAUUCGUAGAUAUUCGGAAGAACACCAGUGGCGAAGGCGACUUACUGGUCCAUGACUGACGCUGAGGCUCGAAAGCGUGGGGAGCAAACAGG